rnacentral:rRNA from 1 species
CAGUAGCCACGGUAAUACGAAGGGUGCAAGCGUUACUCGGAAUUACUGGGCGUAAAGCGUGCGUAGGUGGUGGUUUAAGUCCGUUGUGAAAGCCCUGGGCUCAACCUGGGAAUUGCAGUGGAUACUGGGUCACUAGAGUGUGGUAGAGGAUAGUGGAAUUUCCGGUGUAGCAGUGAAAUGCGUAGAGAUCGGAAGGAACAUCUGUGGCGAAGGCGGCCAUCUGGGACAACACUGACGCUGAGGCACGAAAGCGUGGGGAGCAAACAGGAUUAGAUACCCCCGUAGUCCCUGUCUCUUAUAC